AAAGAUAGUCCCGGCUGAUUAGCUAGUUGUGAGGUAAUGGCUCACCAAGGCUGUGAUCGGUAGCCGGCCUGAGAGGGCACACGGCCACACUGGCACUGAAACACGGGCCAGACUCCUACGGGAGGCAGCAGUGGGGAAUCUUGCACAAUGGACGAAAGUCUGAUGCAGCAACGCCGCGUGAGCGAUGAAGCCCUUCGGGGUGUAAAGCUCUUUCGACAGGAACGAUAAUGACGGUACCUGGAGAAGAAGCUGCGGCUAACUACGUGCCAGCAGCCGCGGUAAUACGUAGGCAGCGAGCGUUGUUCGGAAUUACUGGGCGUAAAGGGUGAGUAGGUGGCGCUAUAAGUUCGGUGUGAAAUCUCCCGGCUCAACUGGGAGGGUGCGCCGAAAACUGUGGUGCUCGAGUGUGGGAGAGGUAAGCGGAAUUCCUGGUGUAGCGGUGAAAUGCGUAGAUAUCAGGAGGAACACCGGCGGUGUAGACGGCUUACUGGACCAUUACUGACACUGAAUCACGAAAGUGUGGGUAGCAAACAGGAUUAGAUACCCUGGUAGUCCACACCCUAAACGAUGCAUACUUGGUGUGAGCCAUUCAUUUGGUUCGUGCCGGAGCUAACGCGUUAAGUAUGCCGC
rnacentral:rRNA from 1 species